CGUCAUAACUCCACCUUACAUCUGACUGUUGUGAAAGACAAAGUAACAACACAAAUGAACAUCAUCAGGUUGACUCUGGUGGUCCUGAUGAUGCUGAUUCCUGUACUUCUCUUAGGUCUGUGGAUGAGGAAGACGAAAACUCUUCUAUCCACUACAGUACUGAAUGACGUCAUAGAGUGUAAGGAGAAUGUCCCAACUUUGGAGGCACAGACAGCAGGCACCGAAGAGCAGGAAGACAUGCUGUGAAGUCCGGUCACACUGAACUCAAAACAAGUUCUUGCAUUAGUGUGUGUGGUAAUUUGUAGAUUCACUGAAAGUAGAGGUGAGGGAGUUGGGUGACUUUUAUUAAGAUGGUGGAGAACAGAAGUUGUGUAAUAUGCAAGCUAACAUUUGUUGUGGUUCCUUUUCAUCUUUCAAGCUUGAGUGAGUGUUAACUGAUUUCAAUUUUCUUCAAAACUUGUAAUUUCACUUUUUAAUUUUCAUCAAGUGAUUUUCUGUCCACCUCAGUUGUAGACUACUUUGAGAUGAUAAUAUAGCAUUCCUGUGAUAAACAUUGCUCAAGUGUAUACAUAAGCUUUUUAACAUGCUUCAUAAUAUGCUAACAUUAACAUAUAUACAUGCUACCAAGCUUAAUAUGAACACAGUUUAGAUGUUAUCCCUUUCUGAAGUAACUGGAGUAUCUGGUUGCAUUUUUCUGGUUUAUGGACCAAAUAUGGUGUCACCCAUGUCAUUUAUUGGAUACUCCCCUUACCCUAACCCUCCCUGUGUUGGAUAAUGACUGGCCUGAAGUCAUAUGACCAUAUACCCGACCCAUCUUGGUAGAUACAUAUCUGGCUCCACAU